rnacentral:rRNA from 1 species
GUGGGGAAUAUUGCACAAUGGACGAAAGUCUGACGGAGCAACGCCGCGUGAACGAUGAAGGCUUUCGGGUCGUAAAGUUCUGUUGUCAGGGAAGAACAAGUACCGGAGUAACUGCCGGUACCUUGACGGUACCUGACCAGAAAGCCACGGCUAACUACGUGCCAGCAGCCGCGGUAAUACGUAGGUGGCAAGCGUUGUCCGGAAUUAUUGGGCGUAAAGCGCGCGCAGGCGGCCUCUUAAGUCUGAUGUGAAGGCCCCCGGCUCAACCGGGGGGGGCCAUUGGAAACUGGGAGGCUUGAGUAUAGGAGAGAAGAGUGGAAUUCCACGUGUAGCGGUGAAAUGCGUAGAGAUGUGGAGGAACACCAGUGGCGAAGGCGACUCUCUGGACUGUAACUGACGCUGAGGCUCGAAAGCGUGGGGAGCAAACAGGAUUAGAAACCCGGGUAGUCC